rnacentral:rRNA from 1 species
AACGAACGCUGGCGGCAUGCCUAACACAUGCAAGUCGAACGAGACCUUCGGGUCUAGUGGCGCACGGGUGGGUAACGCGUGGGAACCUGCCCUUAGGUUCGGAAUAACUCCCCUAGAGGGGUCCUAAUACCGGUUAAUGUCUUCGGACCAAAGAUUUAUCGCCUUUGGAUGGGCCCGCGUUGGAUUAGCUAGUUGGUAGGGUAAAAGCAUACCAAGGCGACGAUGCAUAGCUGGUCUGAGAGGAUGAUAAGCCACACUGGGACUGAGACACGGCCCAGACUCCGACGGGAGGCAGCAGUGGGGAAUACUGGACAAUGGGCGAAAGCCUGAUACAGCAAUGCCGCGUGAGUGAUGAAGGCCUUAGGGUUGUAAAGCUCUUUUACCCGGGAUGAUAAUGACGGUACCGGGAGAAUAAGCACCGGCUAACUCCGUG